CCCUGCCAUCUCCUCAGUUCCCCGCCGGAUUAUUAGUGGUAUAGUAGAGUCCGUGGAGACCCCGCUCUACCCUGGAAGUCUCGCCGUUUCCCGCCUGCCUAGUUACUCGUCCUGCCUGGCCUACCUCAUUCUGUCUCGCCACACCGGAGGAAUCCCACCUCGCAUCUGUCUACCUUUUUCUUGUGUUCAAUAAACUGCUUCCUACCCUCCUGAA